GGAACAGGGCCUCGGUGGCAAAUGGAGGCGAGAAGGCCUCAGAGAAGCCCGCCCCAGAGGAAGUUCCCGUACAAGCAGUUGGCCCAGGGAUUGGCUUGGUGCGUGGAGCGACUGCAGCUGGAUCUCAAGAGGCAGAAACUCACCCCGACACGAGACAAUACCACCCCACUUUUAUUCGCUGUGAUUUGCAAGAAAGAGAAAAUGGUGGAAUUUUUAUUGAAAAAGCAAAUACACAUGCCGUUGAUAGGCCGAGAUGGUACAGCAGUUCUUUUUUAAAGCGAAAAGCUGUUUAUUCUAGAGUUGUAAGAGUCAAGUCAGAAGUACUAAUAAGCUGCAUGUAAUUAUUGGCAUAUAGUGAAAAAUAUCACCACGAACAAUCAGGUAGACCAGCAAGUAUUUGGACUAACAAAGAAGAACAUAUGGUAGGAUUCAUCUUUUCGUGUAAUAUAGAGUGUUUAUUACUUAUAAUCUGAUGUUUUUGGUACUGUAAGCUUUUAUUAGCUAAAGCUAAGGGUUUUGUAUGAGUUUUAUAAAUUUUUUUUUUUUUUUUUCCUUUCUUGAGACGGAGUCUCACUCCGUUGCCAGCCUGGAGUGCAGUGGUGGGAUCUCGGCUCACUGCAACCUCCACCUGCCAGGUUCAAGCGAUUCUCCUGCCUCAGCCUCCCACGUAGCUGGGACUACAGGUGUGUACCACCGCGGCCAGCUUAUUUGUGUAUUUUUAGCAGUGAUGGGAUUUCACCGUGUUGGCCAGGGUGGUCGCAAUCUCUU
rnacentral:lncRNA from 1 species